rnacentral:sRNA from 1 species
GAUUAUGCGUUAGGGAUUGCAGCGGCAUCCUUUUUAAACUUCUUGAAGACAAUUUGAUUAAGAACUUUAAUAUUUAAGAUUGCCACGUUGCAUACUCCCCACAAUGAGGUCAUUUUAAAAAGAUAUAGCGGAAAGCCCGACCCGAC